ACGAACGCUUGCGACGUGCCCUAAGAAAUGCAAGUCGAACGAGGGGGUAGCAAUACCUAGUGGCGAACGGGUCGCGUAACACGUGGGCAACCUGCCCCAGAGCGGGGGGAUAACAACCCGAAAGGGUUGCUAAUACCGCAUGUGGACUUUUCCGGCAUCGGAGAAUGUCUAAAGAUUUAUCACUCUGGGAUGGGCCCGCGGCCCUAUCAGCUAGUUGGUGGGGGGUAACGGCCUACCAAGGCUUCGACGGGCAGCUGGUCUGAGAGGGACGAUCAGCCGGAUUGGGGACUGAGAUACGGCCCAGACUCCUACGGGGGGCAGCAAUUAGGAAUCUUGCACAAUGGGCGAAAGCCUGAUGCAGCGACCGGUCGCGUGGAGGAUGAAAUCUUUCGGGAUGUAAACUCCUUUUAACGGGGAAGAAAAAAAAUGACGGUACCCGUUGAAUAAGCCCCGGCUAACUACGUGCCCAGCAGCCGCGGUAAUACGUAGGGGGCGAGCGUUGUCCGAAGUUACUGGGCGUAUAAAGCGCGCGUAGGCGGGUUCUUAAGUGAGGGGUGAAAGGUUUGGGCUCAACCCAAACACUGCCUUUCAUACUGGGAGCCUUGAGUAUGGGAGAGGGCGAGUGGAAUGGUCGGUGUAGCGGUGAAAUGCGUAGAUAUCGAUCGGAACAACCCAUGGCGAAGGCAGCUCGCUGGCCUAAAAACUGACGCUGAGGGCGCGAAAGCGUGGGGAGCAAACAGGAUUUAGAUACCCUGGUAGUCCACGCCGUAAACGAUGAGUGCUAGGUGUCAGGGGUAUCGACCCCCCCUGGGUGCCGCAGCUAACGCAAUAAGCACUCCGCCUGGGGAGUACGGCCGCAAGGUUGAAACUCAAAGGAAUUGACGGGGGCCCCGCCACAAGCGGUGGAGCAUGUGCAUUAAUUCGUCACUAACCGAAGAACCUUACCAGGGUUUUGACAUCUCCGGACAAUCCGUGAAAGCGGAUCUUCCCCGCAAGGGGACUGGAAGACAGGUGUUGCAUGGUUGUCGUCAGCUUCGUGUCGUGAGAUGUUUGGGUUAAGUCCCGCAACGAGCGCAAACCCUCAUCCCUAAUGUUGCCCGCCCGCUAAAGUGGAGGCAACCUCUAUGGAAAACCUGCCCUCGAUAAGGGGGAGGAAGGUGGGGAUGACGUCAAGUCCUCAUGGCCUUUAUGCCCAGGGCUACACACGUGCUACAAUGGCCGGUACAAAAGCGUCGCCAACCUUCGCGAGAGGGAGCCAAUCGCCAAAAAACCGGUCCUCAGUUCGGAUUGCAGGCUGCAACUCGCCUGCAUGAAGCUGGAAAUCGCUAGUAAUCGCGUAUCAGAACGAUGCGGUGAAUACGUUCUCGGGGCCUUGUACACACCCGCCCGUCACAUCACGAAAGUGGUUUGUACUAGAAGUCGCAAUUCGAACCGCAAGGACGAUAGCGCCCAAGGUAUGAACCAUGAUUGGGGUG
rnacentral:rRNA from 1 species